rnacentral:rRNA from 1 species
CCUACGGGGGGCAGCAGUGGGGAAUAUUGGGCAAUGGAGGCAACUCUGACCCAGCAACGCCGCGUGAAUGAUGAAGGUCUUCGGAUUGUAAAGUUCUGUGAUGGGGGAUGAACACAAUGACGGUACCCCAAUAGCAAGCCACGGCUAACUACGUGCCAGCAGACGUGGGAAUACGGAGGUGGCAAGCGUUAUCCGGAAUGACUGGGCGUAAAGGGUGCGUAGGUGGGUUAGUAAGUUGGCGGUGUAAUUCCGGGGCUCAACCUCGGCGGUGCCGCCAAAACUCUUAGACUAGAGUGCAGGAGGGGUAAGUGGAAUUCCUGGUGUAGCGGUGAAAUGCGUAGAUAUUAGGAAGAACAUCGAGGGCGAAGGCGACUUACUGGACUGUAACUGACACUGAGGCACGAAAGCGUGGGGAGCAAACAGGAUUAGAUACCCCUGUAGUC